AUGGGCCGCGUACCACGGCAACCUGGAGGCGCUCCGGCUCAUAGUGGCGAGAGGCAGAUUAAAAUGAGGGUAGAAUGCUGUAUGUCACGCUGCUGCUGGCAGGUUUAUAAGGCGAGGAGUAAAGUGGAGACACAGGGAAAGGUCACAGUGAUGGAUAGGACAUCUUCCUACUACGGUCCCUGGAGGAGGCAGUGCAGACUGGGCAUGAAGCAAAGACUGACGACUAGAGCUGAGCUGCAGAUCAAAGUUCACAGCAAAAGGGGCGACCCGGACAGGUGUGACAUCUGGGGAAACACACCACUUCACCUGGCAGCUGCCAACGGCCACCACAACUGCCUGUCCUUCCUGGUGGCUUUCGGUGCCAACGUGUGGUGUCUGGACAACGACUACCACACACCGCUGGACAUGGCCGCCACCAAGGAACACAUGGACUGUGUUCGCUACCUGGACUCCAUCGCUGCCAAGCAGAUCACCCUCAACCCAAAGCUGGUCAACAAACUCAAGGACCGGGCGUUUCAAGCCGCCGAGCGUCGCAUCAAAGACUGCGCAAAGCUCCAGAGGAAGCACCGUGAACAUAUGGAGAGGAAGUUCAUGAAGGAGUCAGCGGCUUUAGACAACUUGGAUGCUAUCAGCUUUUCUAGCUACGCCAGCGGCAGCACACUGAGCAAGUUCAACACUGUCACCUCCAACAUGCCAUACUCGCAGGCCACCCUGCUCUCUACAGCCAAGGGCAAGGCCAAGAUACAGAAGAAGCUGGAGAAGAAGAAGCAGGUUGAUGGAUCGUUCAAGAUCUAUGAGGACGGGAGGAAAAGCGUGCGCUCGCUGUCCGGCCUGCAGCUCGGCAACGACGUCAUGUUUCUCAAACAGGGUACAUACGCCAACUCCAAGGAGCGCUCUCGCCUCAACAUCCGCGACAUGUUCCACCCUGACAAUGACGACGACGACGGCGUCUCCCGUGCCAUGAGCGACCCGGGCCUCCACGAGGCUGCGUAUUCGGAGAUCAGUGCCGACUCCGGACGCGAUUCCCUGUUCAACCGCCCAGGGCUCGGCACCAUGGUGUUCAGGAGGAACUAUUUGAGUGCAGGCAUGUUUAGUACCGGAGCACGGGAGGAAGGGAGUGUAGUAGGGAGUGAACCUGUGGGCCGGGCACCCAAUGUUCGUCUACGAGGACGUCUGCCCCGCCGCUCGCCCAGCUUCGAUGAGGACAGUAUCGGCAGCGCCUUGAGCCUGCAAGAAAGAAACCUUCAGGAGUUGCCCUGGGAGGAGACUGACGUUGGGUUGGAUGAGGACUUUGAGCCGGAGAGCAGUCCGCUGGAGACCUUCCUGGCCUCUCAAAGCCUCAGUGAGUUCAUGGCGAUCUUCAGGCGGGAGAAGAUCGACCUGGAGGCUCUGCUGCUUUGUUCAGAUCAGGACCUCGCCAGCAUUCACAUCCCUUUGGGCCCCAGGAAGAAACUCCUGGACGCCUGCAAGAAACGUCUGGACACCAUAGAUGAACCAGAGGCCAUUGAAGACACUGAGCUCUGAAGGCAUUAGGGCCCAAUCAAAAACUAGAAAAGUGAUCAGGUGAUUCGCCGCAGGGUUGUGAGGCAGUGGGAGUGUCACUAAAUGGCCCAUGUGUGACGUCCAGUUGAUAUGACAGUUUCCUAUUUACACAUCCAGCUGACACAGAGCAACACUGUCAUUUAUCUGUCCACCUGACAAAUGAUAAACACACUUGAUGCUCGCUAUCCAGACUGAAAUUUGGAAAAGAAGUUAUCAAUGCUUUAUGGAAAAGCUUUGCCACGUACUGUACACAUGGAUACAUGUUUUUUUUAAUGGAUUUCUUUCCAGUGAAAUGUAGCCUGACAUGUUAUCUUUGCAUACUGUAUUAAUUCAUGUAUCAGUGAAUGUACUUAACCCUUUGAAUAUAGUGUUUAUUAUGUCUUCGUUGUACAGUUUUCUUACUUUAAACAUGUUAUUUUACUCAACGGCACAUACACAAUGGCGACUUAAGACUAUUAUUUUAUGGAUGCAAAUAGCCACAGACUGACUGUUACUCGGCAAACACUGCUGCAAAAGUGAAACAAAAGGGUGCUACUGUGAGGUUAUGUGAGUGUGUGCUAGAUAACACUGUUAUCUCAGGUUGCUCCGGGGCGUAUAUGGUUUCACUGAAGGUCCGUCUGUCUGCGAACUCUGUGAGAGUAUGACUGUGCAUGAAUGUUCAUUUUAUGUUAGUAAAAAGAAAAUCAGUUUUUUAUCAAUAUAUGUACCCACAACCAUAAUUAUCUUUUAUUAAAAUAAAGUGAAAACCAUUA